AUGAUGUAUGGCUGGGGCCAAGGGCCCAAGGGGCCCAUGCCUGGUGUAGAUGUACUCAUAGAUCUAGGCCUGGGGCUGAGGAGGCUGCCUGCAAGCCGCCACAUGGGGCUGUCUUUGCCCUUGCACCCCGGAGCCGCCCUCGGCGCUUCCCCUUGCUGCCUCGCUGAAUCCUUCAGUUGGAGUAUAGAUGUUGUAAAGAUGUUUAAGAGUAACAAGGAGGAGGGUAUGAUUAAAUACUCUUCUAUUUGGUUCCACAUCCCUCCCCUGCCAAAGCAACAUUUCUUCAUAUUUUACAAGCUCCUGCCUGAAUUUGUGAAAGACUGAUUCUGGAACUGUUUGCAGGCAAAACUGUGCUGAUAUCCUUUCAAAACUAUGUUUCAACAUAUUAUGAAGAUCUUCCAAUUCAAGCAGACGGAAUCUCAUGUUUUAGGUGCUGUAUGUCUUACUUAUUUGUUUUUAUUAUAUUAUGUAGUUGUAUUUCUUUUGAUGACUGUUACCCAUCAUGAGUGGUAAGUUUUUAUAUAAAGAAAUUAAUAAAACAUCUAUGUUCAGAGCAACAAGCAAGAAUAAAUAAUACACACACAUGUAUAUACAUAUCCAGUUUGAAUCUGGGGGUGGGAUGAGCUCCCGCUGUAGCCCCAGCUUCUGCCAAUCUAGCAGUUCGAAAACAUGCAAACGUGAGUAGAUCAAUAGGUACUGCUCUGGCGGGAAGGUAACAGUGUUCUAUGCAGCCAUGCCAGCCACAUAACCUUGGAGAUAUUUAUGGACAACGCCGGCUCUUCAGCUUAGAAAUUGAGAUGAGCACCAGUCCCCAGAGUCAGACACGACCAGACUUAAUCUCAGGGGAAAACCUUUACCUUUACUAUCCAGUAGCAGACAUAAUUAUAUCUUUCCUUCUAGGUUGGGGUUCCUAAACUUAAAUAUCCAAGUACAGAGGUCAUAUUAAUCUAAAUCUCACCUAAGUCCACUCCUGGAAUUGUUGAUGACUUUAUUGCAUGCACUUUGAAGCCAUCACACAAAUUUCCAUCUCUUCAAGCAAUCCAGUUUUGUUGGGAAGCAGCUUUUAUUAUAGCACCACUUACGGCAUUGCGCUCGGUAAAGUUGUAAGUUCAGCAGUGUUAUAAGAUGAACCUAUUCACCCAUGCAGACUAUUUGCCUUUGUUAUUGGUUUUUCCGUAUUACGCUUUAUUCAGACUUUAGCCAGGUAAUUUCACUGCUUUUAAGUCACAUGCGUUUGACCUGUAAUAAAGGAAUUUGGAAUGAGAUAACUCACUCCCCCCGCCACCAUUAUUCUCUUGAGGGCUGAGAAUAACUAUUAAAACACACUCAUACUUUAUAACACUGCACGAAUGACUGCUUUCUCAACCAAUACUUAUGCCAAACUGGAUUUUUACAGUGCACGGUUUGUCCAGAACUAAACUCUACUGGCAAGUGUACAAAAAUGAAAAGGCUUAGCAAGUUAUUACACUUAAAGUGAGAACAUUUAUAUUUCUAAAGCAAUAAGCAAUAUUCCUCAUUUUGAUUCCCAGUUCUCAUAUCCUAUACAGCCCUUUGCAGAAUAAGUACCUCCAUGUGUAAUAAAAUGUUCUCUCUACAGAUAUCUAGGCCCUCCAGUGUGAUU
ensembl:lncRNA